rnacentral:rRNA from 1 species
GAUGAACGCUGGCGGCGUGCCUAAUACAUGCAAGUCGAGCGAACGGACGAGAAGCUUGCUUUUCUGAUGUUAGCGGCGGACGGGUGAGUAACACGUGGAUAACCUACCUAUAAGACUGGGAUAACUUCGGGAAACCGGAGCUAAUACCGGAUAAUAUUUUGAACCGCAUGGUUCAAAAGUGAAAGACGGUCUUGCUGUCACUUAUAGAUGGAUCCGCGCUGCAUUAGCUAGUUGGUAAGGUAACGGCUUACCAAGGCAACGAUGCAUAGCCGACCUGAGAGGGUGAUCAGCCACACUGGAACUGAGACACGGUCCAGACUCCUACGGGAGGCAGCAGUAGGGAAUCUUCCGCAAUGGGCGAAAGCCUGACGGAGCAACGCCGCGUGAGUGAUGAAGGUCUUCGGAUCGUAAAACUCUGUUAUUAGGGAUGAACAUAUGUGUAAGUAACUGUGCACAUCUUGACGGUACCUAAUCAGAAAGCCACGGCUAACUACGUG